CGGGGUGCAGCAGGCGCGAAAACUCUACAAUGCAGGCAACUGCGAUAGGGGAACAUCGAGUGAUACUCAUAUUGGGUGUCUGUCCUUCCGUCUAAAAAACGGGAGUUAGCAAGGGCCGGGCAAGACCGGUGCCAGCCGCCGCGGUAAUACCGGCGGCUCGAGUGGUGGCCGAUAUUAUUGAGUCUAAAGGGUCCGUAGCCGGCUUGGCAAGUCUCUUGGGAAAUCCGGCGGCUUAACCGUCGGUCGUCCGGGAGAUACUACUUUGCUUGGGACUGGGAGAGGCGUGAGGUACUCAGGGGGUAGGAGUGAAAUCCUGUAAUCCUUUGGGGACCACCGGUGGCGAAGGCGUCACGCCAGAACAGGUCCGACGGUGAGGGACGAAAGCUAGGGGCACGAACCGGAUUAGAUACCCGGGUAGUCCUAGCCGUAAACGAUGCUCGCUAGGUGUCACGACAAUCGUGAAUUGUCGUGGUGCCGUAGGGAAGCCGUGAAGCGAGCCACUUGGGAAGUACGACCGCAAGGUUGAAACUUAAAGGAAUUGGCGGGGGAGCACAAGGGCGAAUCGCG
rnacentral:rRNA from 1 species